UGUGGGGUGGAGCAGUUGGUAGCUCGUCGGGCUCAUAACCCGAAGGUCGGCAGUUCGAGUCUGUCCCCCGCAACCA
rnacentral:tRNA from 1 species